GCCCUUUCCAGUCCGCCACCUCCUCCUCCUUGUCCUCCUCCUCCUCCCUCCUUUCCAGUUUGUGCCGAGCGGACUCUGCACCGCGGUGAGCUGUGCCGGAUCCUCGCGGAGCUCUUCCCAAAGUACCCGAUUCAGACGAGCGCAGAUGGUGAGGACCGGGAGGAAAUAGGUGCUGUUCUAGACCUGUAGGGCAGUUGGUGUGUCCUGACAAAAGUUAAACUACCUUGAGGUCUGCAAGGCGUGUCAUACGGUUCUGCAACCCUUACAACUGAGUUCAAUAGAAUCAUUAGUGGUUGAGGCUUGCCUAUAUGUGUCUCCAUCGCCUGAAGCACGACAUUUCUAGGUUCUACCACUGCCCUUGAUUCCUGCAAGUUAGCAACGGCUGCAAAUUAUGGUAGUCGAGCUCGGAACUGAAUGAAGGCAAGUGGUGGUAUAUGGAGCAUUUCUCUUAUUGAUCCAAACAAUGAGAAUAUCCAAUAACACUUGGAACAAUUCUCAGCUUGCAGAAUACAAUUGAUCGCUACCUGAACCACACCAAAGGCACACCUACAAAUGAAAAAGUUCACGAACCAGGUGUAGAGAUGAGAUUGAACUUACUGGAUUGAAUGGGAGAGAUGUAAUUGGAUCAAUUAGCGCAGGUGGUGCAUGCUCCUUCUGUUGUGCAGGUGGUGUAUGGUCCUGCUCUUGUGUGUCAGGAUUGAUGGGUGGCACCGAAGAAGUAGCUCCGUCCACAUCCAUGGUGGCUGAGUUGUCUGAUGUGAAGCAAGAUGGUAAACUGCCGCUGCCUGCUGCCUUCCUGCCGCUGCAGCUGCCAAGUUUGUUGUCCAUGUGAGUCCGUGUGAAGCAAGAUUGUUUUUAUUAUCUAACGUCAAGAGUUAGUUUAAAUUAGGUGCUAUGAUAUCCAAACGUGUAGAGUUUGUUUAAAUUAGGCCUCACGUGAAGAGUUUGUUUAAAUUAGGCCUCACGUGAAGAGUUUGUAAGCUAAUACAUGCCUCCAACGACGGGAUAGCACAGUUUCCAACUAACGUUUUUCUGUCAA